CUCGAGGCCAGAUCUUUCCGGUUGAUCCUGCCGGACCUGACUGCUAUCGGAUUGGUACUAAGCCAUGCGAGUCAUUGUAGCAAUACAAGGCAGACGGCUCAGUAACACGUAGUCAACCUACCCUAUGGACGGGGAUAAUCUCGGGAAACUGAGAAUAAUACCCGAUAGAUCAUUGUGCCUGGAAUGGCUAGUGGUUGAAAUGAUUUAUCGCCGUAGGAUGGGACUGCGGCCUAUCAGUUUGUUGGCGGGGUAAUGGCCCACCAAGACUAUUACAGGUACGGGCUCUGAGAGGAGAGGCCCGGAGAUGGGUACUGAGACACGGACCCAGGCCCUAUGGGGCGCAGCAGGCGAGAAACCUUUGCAAUGUGCGAAAGCACGACAAGGUUAAUCCGAGUGUUUUUUGCUAAAGAAAUCUUUUGUCAGUCCUAAAAACACUGAUGAAUAAGGGGUGGGCAAGUUCUGGUGUCAGCCGCCGCGGUAAAACCAGCACCUCAAGUGGUCAGGAGGUUUAUUGGGCCUAAAGCAUCCGUAGCCAGCUAUGCAAGUUUUCGGUUAAA
rnacentral:rRNA from 1 species